rnacentral:rRNA from 1 species
AUUGAACGCUGGCGGCAUGCCUUACACAUGCAAGUCGAACGGCAGCACGGGAGCAAUCCUGGUGGCGAGUGGCGAACGGGUGAGUAAAGUAUCGGAACGUGCCCAGUCGUGGGGGAUAACGUAGCGAAAGUUACGCUAAUACCGCAUACGAUCUACGGAUGAAAGCGGGGGAUCGCAAGACCUCGCGCGAUUGGAGCGGCUGAUAUCAGAUUAGGUAGUUGGUGGGGUAAAGGCUCACCAAGCCGACGAUCUGUAGCUGGUCUGAGAGGACGACCAGCCACACUGGGACUGAGACACGGCUCAGACUCCUACGGGAGGCAGCAGUGGGGAAUUUUGGACAAUGGGCGCAAGCCUGAUCCAGCCAUGCCGCGUGCAGGAUGAAGGCCUUCGGGUUGUAAACUGCUUUUGUACGGAACGAAAAGGUUUGGCCUAAUAAGCUGGACCCAUGACGGUACCGUAAGAAUAAGCACCGGCUAACUACGUGCCAGCCGCCGCGGUAAUAC